rnacentral:rRNA from 1 species
AGGUUGACCUCGGAUCAGGUAGGGAUACCCGCUGAACUUAAGCAUAUCAAUAAGCGGAGGAAACGAAAC